AAAAAACAAAACAAAACAACAACAACAACAACAAAAAACCCCACGAAUCCUACCAUGUUACUUCCCUUGCUUAAAACCUUAGUAGCUUCUCAUAUUAUGUUGCCACCCUGUUGAUUUUCCUCAUAGCUCUUAACUCACAGGAAUUAACAGUACUUGCUCUGUCCCCACUGGCGUGUAAGCUCUUUGAGGGCAGAGACCUUCUGGUCAGUGCUGUAUCAUCACACCUAGAACAUGGCCCGGCACAAAACAGGUGCUCAACAAGCACUUGUUAAGUAAACAUCUCCUACAAUACUCCUAUGAUCAUGUGGUUUUACAAAACUUAAGAGUUUUAAAAUCCAUUACAACUCUUCAACUCUAAGAUGCAUUUUCCAUCCCCUACAUUUCUACCUUUUUCCAAUCAGGACAUAGCUUACAAAUGAUAUACUUAAUGUAGUAGGGUUUUUCCACUAUUUCUCCUCAAAGGGCAUUUAAUAAAAUGAAAGUAACUUUGCAAUUGAGAAAAUAUGAUAAAAAAAUACCUUUAGGUGCAAUCUUUCAAGAGCCUAGGCACGUAAAACAUCCUGUCUACUUAAUUCUCACAACCUCUGAUGAUAGGAAUUCACAUGGCUAAUAAUGGCAGUCAGAGUUCCAACACAGACCUAUCUAGUGCCAAAGCUACAUGCAAUCUUUUUACUACAUUCCACAGUUGCUCUGUCUUACCUCUGUGUAACAGACGGAAACAAAAUCGUAUAAAACCACAGAAUUCACCUACAGUAUGAGGCAAUCCAAUUAAAGGAAAAGUCAUUCUCAGAACAGCUUUUAUUUAGUUUCAGAUUUGCAAAGGGAGACGUGACAUCAAGUUUGGAAGAAAGCUGAAUUACUGGGACUAACAGAGUGAAAAGAAUAUGGACUUUCAAGAAAGAAACAGAUCUCCCGCCACAGCCAGUGAGGAAAUGAGGUCUCUUGACAACACCUGUGAGAGAGCCAUCUGAGAAGAUCCUCCAACCCUGGGGAAACCUUCAGAUGACUGCAGACCUGGCUGACAGUCUGACUGCUGCCUCACGAGAGACCCUCAGCCAGGACUACCCAGCUAAGCCACUUCUGGACUACUAGCCUCAGAAACUGUGUGAGAUAAUAAACAGUUGUUGUUUUUCACUUCUGACUUGGGGGUAAUUUAUUAAUGCAGCAAUAGAUAACUGACAUAAAAGAAACCAAAGCUAGAAAAGCUUACAUUUGCAAAAGUUGUAAUUAAUAAAACUGGGUUAGCUGGCUUUUAGGAAGUAAAGAAAAAGAUAAUUAAAACUUAUAAAACUUAAUUUCCUGCACCU
rnacentral:lncRNA from 10 species